UGGGGAAUUUUGGACAAUGGGCGAAAGCCUGAUCCAGCCAUGCCGCGUGAGUGAAGAAGGCCUUCGGGUUGUAAAGCUCUUUCAGGUGGAAAGAAAACGCAUAGGUUAAUACCUUGUGCGGAUGACGGUACCAUCAGAAGAAGCACCGGCUAACUACGUGCCAGCAGCCGCGGUAAUACGUAGGGUGCAAGCGUUAAUCGGAAUUACUGGGCGUAAAGCGUGCGCAGGCGGUUUUGUAAGUCUGAUGUGAAAUCCCCGGGCUCAACCUGGGAACUGCAUUUGUGACUGCAUAGCUGGAGUGCGGCAGAGGGGGAUGGAAUUCCGCGUGUAGCAGUGAAAUUCGUAGAUAUCGGGAGGAACACCAGUGGCGAAGGCGGCGAUCUGGGUCGAUACUGACGCUGAGGUGCGAAAGCGUGGGGAGCAAACA
rnacentral:rRNA from 1 species